GAGAGAGAGAACAUUUGAAUUAGACAAGAUGGCUGCGUAUACAUUGUUGGAUCACUUGGCACAAAACAUGUAUUUUAAUAUCGGAGCAUUUUAUAAAUUCAAACCACUUGCAGCUGGACAUGGGAAUUUUAGAAGAUACAUGUUUGGCCCAAAAAAGCUGAAGCACACAGGCCCAACAGUGAAUCCAAACUCCUGUGUGAGGUCACUGCUGCCAAACACUGCCAGAUCUCUCAGGGGAAGCAGAUCCAAGUCCUCACUCUCAAACUGGAACACCGCCUCACGACGGCCUCCGGAAUGCAGCUCCUCAGAGGGCUGCCAAGAGAAACACAAAGUACAUUAAGUAUUGAAGUGACUCUCUUCACCAUCUCUCAACAGCCUUCCCUCCUCACCACCACCACCACCACAAUCUAAUACAGUACAUGGAACUUCACCUCUCUUUCGCCUGGUCCCUGUAUGUUCCCAGGCUGGCAGGAGUAUGUGAUGUUCUGACUGGUGAGCCUGCUGUUCAACCUCAGGAAUCUCAUCUGCACCACGUCGGGUCCUAGAUACUCAAACUGGGAGAGGGCAUGGAAGGAAGGAAAUCAAACCAGAAACACAAAAGCAUUUCAUUGUACUGUGUACACCACAUGUAUCCUUUGCAUAUGACAAAUAAACUUUGAUUUGAUUCGAUUUGAGAAUCAUGAUUGGA